AUUGAACGCUGGCGGCAUGCUUUACACAUGCAAGUCGAACGGUAACAGGUUAAGCUGACGAGUGGCGAACGGGUGAGUAAUGCAUCGGAACGUGCCCGGUCGUGGGGGAUAACGCAGCGAAAGCUGCGCUAAUACCGCAUACGAUCUAAGGAUGAAAGCGGGGGACCGUAAGGCCUCGCGCGAUCGGAGCGGCCGAUGUCAGAUUAGGUAGUUGGUGGGGUAAAGGCUCACCAAGCUAACGAUCUGUAGCUGGUCUGAGAGGACGACCAGCCACACUGGGACUGAGACACGGCCCAGACUCCUACGGGAGGCAGCAGUGGGGAAUUUUGGACAAUGGGCGAAAGCCUGAUCCAGCAAUGCCGCGUGCAGGAAGAAGGCCUUCGGGUUGUAAACUGCUUUUGUACGGAGCGAAAAGGUCUCCUCUAAUACAGGGGGCUCAUGACGGUACCGUAAGAAUAAGCACCGGCUAACUACGUGCCAGCCGCCGCCGUAACAC
rnacentral:rRNA from 1 species